CAGAACCAUGGUAGUGUCCAAAUCCAUUGCAAGCAGGAGAUCAUUUACCAUUUUAGUAAGAGUUCUCUCCAUGGAAUGGUGCUUGUUAAAUCCAGACUGCA